UACGGGGGGGCAAGCGUUGUUCGGAAUUACUGGGCGUAAAGGGCUCGUAGGCGGCCAACUAAGUCAGACGUGAAAUCCCUCGGCUUAACCGGGGAACUGCAUCUGAUACUGGAUGGCUUGAGUUCGGGAGAGGGAUGCGGAAUUCCAGGUGUAGCGGUGAAAUGCGUAGAUAAUCUGGAGGAACACCGGUGGCGAAGGCGGCAUCCUGGACCGACACUGACGCUGAGGAGCGAAAGCCAGGGGAGCAAACGGG
rnacentral:rRNA from 1 species